rnacentral:rRNA from 1 species
ACCGAAUAGAUACCCGGGUAGUCCACGCCCUAAACGAUGCGAACUGGAUGUUGGGUACAUUACGGUACUCAGUGUCGAAAGCUAAACGCGUUAAGUUCGCCGCCUGGGGAGUACGGUCGCAAGACUGAAACUCAAAGGAAUUGACGGGGCCCGGCACAAGCGGUGGAGUAUGUGGUUUAAUUACGAUGCAGCGCGAAGAACCUUACCUGGCCUUGACAUCUGUCGAAUCCUGCAGAGAUGCGGGAGUGCCGCAAGGAACGACAAGACAGGUGCUGCAUGGCUGUCGUCAGCUCGUGUCGUGAGAUGUUGGGUUAAAGUCCCGCAACGAGCGCAACCCUUGUCCCUAGUUGCCAACACGUAAUGGUGGGAACUCUAGGGAGACUGCCGGUGAC